UUCACCAAGCCUUUUUACCGUGCGGCCCCGUGAGAGCGAGACCCCGGAGAUGGCCACUGAGACAAGGCCCAUGCCCUACUGGGGCGCACCACUCGUGAAAACUUUCACAUCCCCGAAAGUGUGACAGGGCUAUCCCGAGUGCCAUCCGCUGAGGAAGGCUUUUCCCCACUCUAGACCGCUGGGGGAAUAAGGAGAGGCCAAGUCUGGUGUCACCCGCCGCGGUAAUACCAGCUCUCCGAGUGGUGUGGAUGUUUAUUGGCCCUAAAGCAUCCGUACCUGGCUAAGUUAGUCCCUUGUUAAAUCCACCGAAUUAAUCGUUGGAUCGCGGGGGAUACUGCUUGGCUAGGGGCCGAGAGAGGCAGCCGGUAUUUUCGGGGUAGGGGUGAAAUCCUAUAAUCCCGGGAAGACCCCCACGUGGCGAAGGCUGUCUGCUAGAACGCGCCCGCCGCGUGAGGGAUGAAAGCUGGGGGAGCGAACCGGAUUAGAUACCCGGGUAGUCCCAGCUGUAAACGAUGCAGGCUAGGUGUUUGGACGGCCACGUGCCGUUCUAGUGCCGCAGGGAAGCUGUUAAGCCUGCCGCCUGGGGAGUACGAUCGCAAGAUUGAAACUUAAAGGGAUUGGCGGGGGAGCACCACAAGGGGUGAAGCUUGCGGUUUAAUUGGAUUCAACGCCGG
rnacentral:rRNA from 1 species